UGGGGAAUUUUGGACAAUGGGGGAAACCCUGAUCCAGCCAUCCCGCGUGUGCGAUGAAGGCCUUCGGGUUGUAAAGCACUUUUGGCAGGAAAGAAACUUCAUGGGUUAAUACCCCGUGAAACUGACGGUACCUGCAGAAUAAGCACCGGCUAACUACGUGCCAGCAGCCGCGGUAAUACGUAGGGUGCAAGCGUUAAUCGGAAUUACUGGGCGUAAAGCGUGCGCAGGCGGUUCGGAAAGAAAGAUGUGAAAUCCCAAAGCUCAACUUUGGAACUGCAUUUUUAACUACCGGGCUAGAGUGUGUCAGAGGGAGGUGGAAUUCCGCGUGUAGCAGUGAAAUGCGUAGAUAUGCGGAGGAACACCGAUGGCGAAGGCAGCCUCCUGGGAUAACACUGACGCUCAUGCACGAAAGAGUGGGGAGCAAACAGG
rnacentral:rRNA from 1 species